GGACCCGUGGUGUAGCGGUUAACAUGCUUCCCUGUCACGGAAGAGAUCGCCGGUUCGAUUCCGGUCGGGUCCG
rnacentral:tRNA from 1 species